UGUUGUAGGUUGUGUAAGAAAGCAGGCUAAGAAAGCCAUAGGAACAAGCUUGGAAGUGAAAGACCCCCAGAGUGGGGAGACCCUCACUCAAGUCUUGGGAUAAGCCGACACCCCAAUAAUUCAAGAGAGACC
rnacentral:pre_miRNA from 11 species